GCCAGGGAGCUUGCUCAGUCGGUAGAGCGUGUGACUCUUAAUCUCAAGGUCAUGAAUUCGAGCCCCACAUUGGGCA